UUUAAAUGCCUUGAUAAUAGAAGCUGAUGUCACUUCCUGUCCUGACUCCUCCUCUUCCCUUUCUGUAUUGCAAUCUCAUUGGAGUGUCAUGAUCUCAGCAAUGCACUCGAAUCCCCUUUUAAACCUGCGGGUGGUACAGCAGAAGAAGAUAUAGUUCCCAUUGACAUUGUUGAGGAAACACUAAAGAUGCUCUUUGGCACAAAGAAAAAAAAAGAACAAGAAGAAGAAAAAAUACAACAAUAAUAAUAAUAAUAAUAAUAAUAAUAAUAAUAAUUCUAUAUUAUAAUUUC